UUUGAUGACAUAAAAGAGGUGAAGAAAAGGCAAGAUAAGAAUGUGCCUUUUGAUGAGUGGACUUCAUCUUUCUACAUUGAAGAGCGGAGUUUCUACCUUUAAGGAAUAAGAAGCCACUAUUAUCAAUGGGGAGGGUGGGAGGGUAUUUAAGUCUCAUGUAUUAUGAUGACCUAAUUUGUUGCAAUAAGCACUAUAUCCAUUUCUUUUACUUUGUAUGUAUAGAAGUACUCUAAUGGCUCAGAGUUGUUAGGGAUCAACUGUACUAGCGUAGAAUUUUUUUUUUAAUUACUUGCGGAGCAGGGUGUUUUCUGCUACUUAUCAUAUUAUUAUAAACUACUUACUUUUAUGUCCUAAUCAGUUGAUGUUAAUUUUCUUGUAUUGGUAUCAUUAUUUAAAGAACUAUAAAUUUCAGCAUCUAACUGAUGUAUAUAAAAUUGGAUUUUUUUUUUUUUUUACCAAACUGUAUUUCCCUUGGAGGGCGGGAGGUUAAAGCCAGAUUUAUUACUUUGUCUUUGAAUUUUUAAAAAAAUAAUAAAUAUGUUGUAACUACAACAAUAAAUAUGAUUUCAAAGUC